ACAUUUUCAGAUCAUAUUUUGACAAAACACAUUGGUGCUUACAAUGAAUUCUCUAUUGUCAUGGACUUGAAAAUACUUCAAAAUGAAGAUCCUGCCAUGGACAAGAUUGGGUGGACAUAAAGUGGAAAGGAGGGGAAAUAACUCCCACCAUGCAACAGGACAACUUCAGCUGCGGGGUCUUUGUAAUGCAGAUGGCCAAGGAAGUUGCACAGAACUUCCCAAAUGGAUAUAGAACCUUCACAAAAACACAGAGCAGCUGUGAAAAGAAAUGGCUGAGGAUAUACUAAAAAUGCCUGGUAUGUAAUGAAAUUUAAUUCAAAGUAAAUGUAAAUUAUUUUUAUGUAGUUCAUGCCUAUGAUUUCAGAGUUCAACAAAGGCAACGACUGCUCCAUGUGUGCCAUUGAUAAAGUACCUGGCUGUUGCCCAAAGACUGACUGGAUUGAAUGUUUUGCAUGCCAAUGGUGGUUCCAUGUGCUGUACCUAGGGAUGAAUACAAAUGAGUUCAAUUGGUGUGAAGAACACAAACUGGAAGUGAUGUCUUUGUUUAAAAUGUAUGCUAUACCCCAUCCACACUGAAGAGGCUCUGAAAUGUACAUCAACCAGGGAUAAAGAGGAAGUUAACACAAAUGUUUUGUACUUAUUUGACGUAAAGUCUGACAUUUUGGAAAAUAUUAAAUAUUCCAUUUUAAUUAAUUGAUUAUUUGGCCACCAUUAUUGUGGUUACAUGUUCAAUAUAUGUAUUGCCUGAACCCACUACAGCCUACCUUACUGGCUGUGCAGUUCAC
rnacentral:lncRNA from 1 species